rnacentral:lncRNA from 1 species
GGCUCAGCCGCGCCCCGGGCCGCACGCUGUGGGAGCGAACCCACGGAGGCCGCGCUCACGGGAGCCUCGUCAGUCAGGCCUGAGUGAGCGAGCGGCCCGAGCGCCAGGUGCGGAAAGGCGCAGCAUCCCGGGCGGGCGGCGCGGCCGCGGCCCAGUCACCCCAGGGAGCGCCCUCAGUGAACAGUGCUGAAACCAACCCCAAGAAGACGUCCACAAAGUGCUGCGCUGCCCCGGGGCCCUGAAGGGAGCCUUCGAGACGGAAGGGCCCGGGGAGACAGGGGCUGGUGGAGUUUGCUUUUGGACACUUGGUGUUUGGAGCCGGAGGGCACGGACUCCUUCCAGACUGCGCCAGUGCUCGGACGUCAGAGAGGGACGCGGACGCAGCUGCCUCCUGGGCUUAUUUUCGGAAGGGAGAUUGGCUGCAGUCAGUGACACGUGGGCAGCUGGUCCCCAGGUCUUCCUGACACCGAGGCCCAUGUGCUGACUGCCUUUCACAUGCAGGACUCACAUCUGCACGCAGAGCUGACCCAGGAGACUGAGGGUCUUGCCCAGAGUGAAGUCCAGACCUGCAAGGGAGGCAGCAGUUUCUGGUUAUACCCUGGGGAUCUGGGACUUCGAGGUAAGACAUUCUUCUGAUAUGCGAGGGUCGUUCAAAAACUACUGGGCAGCCUCCAGACAGGACA